UGGGGAAUUUUGGACAAUGGGCGAAAGCCUGAUCCAGCAAUGCCGCGUGUGUGAAGAAGGCCUUCGGGUUGUAAAGCACUUUUGUCCGGAAAGAAAUCCUUGGCUCUAAUACAGUCGGGGGAUGACGGUACCGGAAGAAUAAGCACCGGCUAACUACGUGCCAGCAGCCGCGGUAAUACGUAGGGUGCAAGCGUUAAUCGGAAUUACUGGGCGUAAAGCGUGCGCAGGCGGUUUGCUAAGACCGAUGUGAAAUCCCCGGGCUCAACCUGGGGAACUGCAUUGGUGACCUGGCAGGCUAGAGUAUGGCAGAGGGGGGUAGAAUUCCACGUGUAGCAGUGAAAUGCGUAGAGAUGUGGAGGAAUACCGAUGGCGAAGGCAGCCCCCUGGGCCAAUACUGAUGCUCAUGCAACGAAGC
rnacentral:rRNA from 1 species